GAUGAAGAACGUAGCGAAAUGCGAUAAGUAAUGUGAAUUGCAGAAUUCAGUGAAUCAUCGAAUCUUUGAACGCACAUUGCGCCCGCCAGUAUUCUGGCGGGCAUGCCUGUUCGAGCGUCAUUACAACCCUCAGGCCCCGGGCCUGGCGUUGGGGAUCGGCGGAGCCCCCCGUGGGCACACGCCGUCCCCCAAAUACAGUGGCGGUCCCGCCGCAGCUUCCAUCGCGUAGUAGCUAACACCUCGCGACUGGAGAGCGGCGCGGCCACGCCGUAAAACCCCCAACUCUUCUGAAGUUGACCUCGAAUCAGGUAGGAAUACCCGCUGAACUUAAGCAUAUCAAUAAGCGGAGGA
rnacentral:misc_RNA from 1 species